rnacentral:rRNA from 1 species
GAUGAACGCUAGCUACAGGCUUAACACAUGCAAGUCGCGGGGUAACAUCUGGUAGAGCUUGCUCUUCCAGGAUGACGACCGGCGCACGGGUGAGUAACGCGUAUCCAACCUGGCCCAUACCACGGGAUAGCCCGUCGAAAGGCGGAUUAAUACCGUAUGCUGUCAUUAAGAUGCAUAUAUUGAUGACGAAAGGACUGGCGGUAUGGGAUGGGGAUGCGUCUGAUUAGCUUGUUGGCGGGGUAACGGCCCACCAAGGCGACGAUCAGUAGGGGUUCUGAGAGGAAGGUCCCCCACAUUGGAACUGAGACACGGUCCAAACUCCUACGGGAGGCAGCAGUGAGGAAUAUUGGUCAAAUGGGCGCAAGCCUGAACCAGCCAAGUAGCGUGAGGGAAGACUGCCCUACGGGUUGUAAAACCUCUUUUAGUUGGGAAUAAAGGUGCGGGACGCGUCCCGGCACUUGCAUGUACCAUUUGAAUAAGACGGCUAAU